GGAUAUGGGGUCAUGUGCCUGUGACACCAGUCACCUCAUUGAUUCAACUGAUUUGACCGGCUACAUAGUACCUCUUUCUCUCUCCAUGUUCAUAUGGAUCCCCUACCCCUGAAGCUGUGAGAUCAGUCAAAGAAAACCUUCCCCAGUAGAGGUUGAUCUCUUCUUCCAUCAAGGGUGUAUGAGUGCAUGUGUUCCUUUAUUAGAGCAUUAGAUGAACUCCUCUACAAGAACCAAACAAGCUCUCAAGAAGUAAAUGGGGUGACUCAAUAGGUUGGGGGACCUCUUCCUUUAACUCUCCUU
ensembl:misc_RNA 7SK 7SK RNA